rnacentral:snRNA from 1 species
GAGCUUGCACAGUGGCAGUAUCAUAGCCAAUGAGGUUUAUCCAAGGCAUGAUUAUUGCUAAUAGAAAUUACA